rnacentral:rRNA from 1 species
UACGUAGGGUGCAAGCGUUGUCCGGAAUUAUUGGGCGUAAAGAGCUCGUAGGCGGUCUGUCGCGUCGGAUGUGAAAAUCCAGGGCUCAACCCUGGACCUGCAUUCGAUACGGGCAGACUAGAGUUCGGUAGGGGAGACCGGAAUUCCUGGUGUAGCGGUGAAAUGCGCAGAUAUCAGGAGGAACACCGGUGGCGAAGGCGGAUCUCUGGGCCUUACCUGACGCUCAGGUGCGAAAGCUAGGGGAGCGAACAGG